AGUUAAUGAGCUUGAUAUAAGCAUAUGUUUUGAAAACAUAAGAUAGAAGCUAAAGUCUUCUAUUAACUU
rnacentral:tRNA from 1 species